GACAUUAAGUCCUCCCACAUUUGAAGUUCUAGUUUGUAUCUCCUUGAAUGAUUCCUCAAUAAUCAACAGGCCAUGAACGUACUUCUCCCUCAACCUGUGUUACCUUCUUCCUUACCUUCAUCUCUGUCACUCUUCAGAAGUGCAUUGAUUCAUCAAACAGAACUGGCUACCCACUCUUGUUUAUGUAGAACACUACUAUUAUUCAAAUUGCUAUGCUACUCUAAUAUUAACUUUCGGGGGACCCCUUCUUGUUUAGGGCUGAGGAUACAGCUCAGCCGUAGAGUGCUUGCCCAGCUCUGCUGAGGCCCUCCCUGACUUCCAACGUCCAGGAUCCUUGUCAGGAAGUAAACAGAAAUGCGCCUGGUCCCUUGCACGGGUCUGGGCUCUCGGUGAAUGAAGGGAUGAAUUGCCUGUGGUAUUGGUCUCCUCUGGAGUCCCAAGCUCUUGUGAGACUUGAGCUUGAGGAAAGGAAGGCUUUUGACUUCAGUGUGCUCCAAAACCAUGCCAGGAAUGCCAGACAGUGAGACAUACCCAGUGGGUGACAAUAAUUAGUGCUCCCACCCAUCCCAACAGAGGGAGUGCCUCUGUGUUUCCUAACCUACCCUACACAUGAGAGUUCUUAGAAAGCUGAAAACACAGGGAUGGGCCACCAGGGCCUUGUUCCCAGCUCUCCCCGACCCUUCUGUUGAUAGAACUCUGUUGCUAUAGAGAUGGCCAUUCCUCUAGGGAGAAGAGUUGAGUGAAGCCUGCAGAGAGGCCUCCUGGGAACAGAACAGUGCAUGGAGUCUCUCCACCCAGUCAUUCACUUCCUCCUCUACAUGCUCGCCUACUCCUGCGUCUACUCCUGUCUGUAUUUGUUGGUUUAUUUUAUUAGCAUCUUUACAGAGGAUUAGGCAACCCGCUGGACACAAGCCUCUUUGGGUACAGAAAACCCUACCCACUGCCCAUGUCCUUCGCACCGAUGGAUAGGCCAGCGCGCUUCACUGGCCGCUUCAGAGGCGUGAGGACGUCUGCAGUCUCUCAUCUUCCUUUAGUCGAGCUCUUCCCAACGUUGCUGAUUAGAACCCAGUGCUCUCCGGGAAGCACAGAAAUUGGAUCAAUCUGUAAAGCCAAACGGAGAUGAAGGGCGUUCGGUCUCUGGGAAUGAAUAUGUAACGCCUCUGCUCUCCAAAGACUCCUUUUGUGUAACUCAGCUUUCAACAGUCCGACAUCCAAAGAAGGCAGACAUACCACCCUGACAACUUAAAUAAAAUUUUCAACUUUUUUUUUUGUUAAAUAUUAAAGAAUGGUUUGGGUGACUUGGGACAGAAACUUACUUUUCAUGUAGUGAGUACUAUUAAUUCGGUAGGUGUUUCAGAGAUCUCUGGUUGAGAUAAGAUGUGUUGUUGAGAAGUACUUGCAAAUCUUUGUAUCCUUCACAGCUCUGGUUGAGAAAAUCAUAAAAUCAGCAGGUCUAUGAAUUAGAGAUAUUUGGAAAUGUGAAUAAGAAAUAAAUUCCAACCUGAUACCUUUA